GCAAUCCCCUUUCAGAUCCGUUGUUGCGUGGGACCCACCUGUCAUCCCUAAGAAAGUAACCACGCACCAAGAAAAAUAGAAAAAAAAGCGCGCCGCUAACCUCCGCCAUCCCCACGUCGCGCCGCGCCGCCCUCCCCACGUCGUACCUCCGCCGCCCGCCUCACCCGCCGCACUCCCCUCUCCCCUCUCCCUCGCGUCGCCCACCUCCCCUCGCCGCACUCCCCUCUCCCUCGCAUCGCCCACCUCCCCUCUCCCCGCUGCCUCAGGAUCUCCUCCGCGCCGCCGCCGUUCAGUCGUCGUCGCCGAUUCUCCUUCGCCGCGCACAGCCGUCGUGGCCUCAGGUUGCUUGCACCUUCUCCCAUGCUGACUAACGGCGUCGUGGCCGCCGCCGCCAUCAUCACCGGCACCGACCUCUCCUCUCAGAUAACCGAAAACAUCAUGUUGAGUUUUGAGUGGUCUCUCCGAGAAAUGGAGCCUGAAGAAGCAGUAGACAAUUGAUUUUGUUACCAAGUGAUUCACUUUUGUUCUUUUGCUACAUAAGGUGGAACAUUUUUUAUGUUUUUAAAUUUCUAUUUAUAUAUAUUCCAGUGUAUGACAGAUUUGGAGCCUCCAGACAAGCAGGCUGAUGCGCAACUUGCUCUGUGGUGGUUAGCACCGAAUCAUGUAGUACUAAUGAAGCUAAUUAGGCGCAAGAGCUGCUCUCCACCCUGAUUGCCAUAGACCUUCCUUCCAGGUGAGAGGUGGGGCAGAGGCGGAUCAUGCCUGAUGUCGGGAUGUGCGAGUAAAUUAGAGGGUUGAAAAGGGCGGCGAAGUUGUGAAGAGCUGAUUCCAAUCCUCGGUCUGACUUUGGGAUCAAUUGACAUAUCUCUAAAGUGCUGCAGUUGUAGUAGGGGUCUCUGUAUAAACCACUCUUGAGCUUUCUCAACUCCAAGUGGAUCUAUUGCAACCAACACAGUGGCUCUCCCUGCUGACCAUGUAUGUGUCUUACUUCUGAGAUAAGUCUGUUUUAGUCGAAUUUCCUAUUUUUAUUAUAGGAAAUAUCCAAUUUGAGAAAUGAAUUGAGAUAUUACCCUACCUACUCUGUUAUAUGGCUUCAAGUAUUUAUACUUGCUGGCAUCGCAGCUUAUACCUUCGCUUCGUAUAGUAACAGAUUCAAAGAGCACUGACCUUAAAAGGAAGAGAGCAAACAACUGGUACAGUUCCUUGAGCACUGAGCAAAAGGAUUGGACAUGAGUAACCUUCAAAUUUUGGUGUUAGACUACACAUAUUCUGAUUCUAAGUGUAAUUAGAAGCAUCUCUGCCAGUCCUUUAUAUGUUCCAUUUACAUUUGUGUCGUGCAAUGUCAACUGCUGAAGGUAAUAGUGUAGGUUGUGUAAAUAACUGUAUCAUGGUUCGGCCUAGCAAGCCCGAGGAAUAAUUUGCUCUUUCUGUAAACAAAAAAGUUUGCGAUCUAAUUCUUUCUCAGGUUACUGUUCCCAUUGACCUGCAGUCAUCCGCACACAUAUACCUACAACAGCUACCAUUCUCAUGUGGAUAUGACUUGCAAAGUAAAACAGAACUUUGAUGCAUGAGCAUACUUGAUUUGAUUUGUAAUUUGCUCCUGCGUACCUAUCUGAACUUUUUUGCCUGUUCAACUAUUGCAGGGAUUUAUCAUAAUUAGCUAGACAUUUUCAUCUGAACAUUUUUGUCUGUUGCAGCAUUGCAGGGACCAUCACAAGUACCUGGACAUUUUCUCAUCUACUUACAAACUAAAACAGAACUUGAUGCUUGAGCAUACUUGAUUUGAUUUUUAAUUUUCUGCUGGCAUUGCAGGGACAUCACAAGUGCCUGGACAUUUUCUUCUCUACUAACAUGCAAGCCACAACAUGUUAUUGAUACAAAAUGGUUUGAUUUGACUCUUUCCUGCCACACAUUAGAGGACGACCUGCCAUGGUCGAUGUUACAAACUUAACUGCUGCCAAGGAUAGGAGAAAGCGUGACAGAGAGGUAUGCUGCACUCCCUCUACAAUCGUCACAGGAAGGGUGCCCAUAAGAGAUAUCACAAAUUAUGCUGGCUUUGGUGCUACCCAAACCUAUUCAGGAACCGUGAUACUGAAAGAUUGGUUGGAGGCUUGGAGCUGUUUAUUUCCCUUAAUUUCAGCCUUCCUGAUAAAAAUGCAUGCUGCCUACUGUGCAGUGCCAAAGCUUUGAUUCGAGACACUGUUGUAGGUCUUCUAUGGGUCUUGGAAGUGCUCAUCCACUGUUUUGAUCAGUGAAGGGGAUGCUGUUAGUGAUGGAGUUAGAACAAGACAUAAAGGCAAGCAUCUAUGGUGCUUGAGACCUACUUUCUUAUUACGUCACCCAAUUUUGCUUGAACAAGAGGCAUGCAAAACAUUUGAAGGAUGGAUCAUGAUCAACGGCAGAGGGUGAGCUGCGCCAUGGGUCGUGAAUCACCGUUGCUAUUGCCUCCAACUUGUCGCUGGAGCCACGCGCCCAACAGCUAGAGCCAAGAUGAAUUCCUGAGAGAGUCUCUAUCCCCUUAUUCUCUCUCUUCUCUCUCUAAACCUCACACCACAUACAUGAAAAGGUUGCGGUGAUGAUGGUAUUGUUGUUUCCAUGGCCGCCUGGUGGCGAUAGUGACGGGGAGAACGACUGUUGUGGCGGGCAGAGUAAGAAGACAUCUAGGAGGUCACCAGUGGAGAGGAGGAGGGGGAUGACCCCAUCGUGGCGAACCAGCAAUGAAGGAGAUGGCCGUUGCUGUGGACUCCGACAAUGAGGAAGGCAAGAUCAUCGAAGGUAAGGAGCACUGGGUCGUCAUAGGCACGAGUUCAUCGAAGGAAUCUUAGAUCCAGCCAUCGGAGAGUAAGAAGGACCUAGAUUUGGAUUGGCAUAUUUUUUUGUCAUUUUUUCCAUGUUUCAUCCCAUAUAUGUUUUACAUGUUUCUUUGUAUUAUAUCAAAAUAUUUAUGUAUAAAUUCUUUUGAUGUUACAUAUUUUUUCUUACUUCGAUUUGUAGGGAUAUGUUGAUGUUUCAUCAGUUGAAGCUUGAUGUUUCAUUUACAUGAGUGGAAUGUUUCAAUCA